rnacentral:rRNA from 1 species
CCUGGCUUAGGACGAACGCUGGCGGCGUGCCUAAUACAUGCAAGUCGAACGGCUUUUCUAUGGAAGCUUGCUUCCACUGAGAAGAUAGUGGGCGAACGGGUGAGUAACACGUGGGGUAACCCUGCCCAUAAGAGGGGGGAUAACAUCCGGAAACGGGUGCUAAUACCGCAUAGUUUUCUUGAUUGCAUGAUUGAGAAGGAAAGACGGCCUUUGUGCUGUCGCUUAUGGAUGGACCCGCGGCGUAUUAGUUAGUUGGUGAGGUAACGGCUCACCAAGACGAUGAUACGUAGCCGACCUGAGAGGGUGAUCGGCCACAUUGGGACUGAGACACGGCCCAAACUCCUACGGGAGGCAGCAGUAGGGAAUCUUCCGCAAUGGACGAAAGUCUGACGGAGCAACGCCGCGUGAGUGAAGAAAAGGUUUUCGGAUCGUAAAACUCUGUUGUCAGAGAAGAACAAGUUGGAGAGUAACUGCUCCAGCCUUGACGGUAUCUGACCAGAAAGCCACGGCUAACUACGUGCCAGCAGCGGC